rnacentral:rRNA from 1 species
UACGGAGGGGGCUAGCGUUGUUCGGAAUUACUGGGCGUAAAGCGCACGUAGGCGGCUUUGUAAGUUAGAGGUGAAAGCCCGGGGCUCAACUCCGGAAUUGCCUUUAAGACUGCAUCGCUAGAAUUGUGGAGAGGUAAGUGGAAUUCCGAGUGUAGAGGUGAAGUUCGUAGAUAUUGGGAAGAACACCGGUGGCGAAGGCGGCGACCUGGUCCUUGACUGACGCUGAGGCGCGAAAGCGUGGGGAGCAAACAGG